UGUAGGUUUAAAAAAAGUCAACGAACCUUCUUCUUCUUCUUCUUUUUUUUUUUUUUAAGAGGAGAAAAGGAGUGGGUAGGGAGAGCAAGAGAAUCUUAAGCAGGCUCCAUGCCCAGUGCAGAGCCUAAAGCAGGGGCUUCACCUCGGUCUCAGUCUCUCAAUCCUGAGAUCGUGGCUGGAGCCAAAAUCAAGAGUUGGACACUUAACUGACUAAGCAGCCCAGGUGCCCCAAAAGUUAAACAACCUUAAAGGCAGAAACAUUUGCAGUCUUGUUAGCUAUUUCAAUUCAUUCAAACCUUAUCUUACUGGGCUUCAGUUUAUUAGGUGAAAAUGGCAAGCAAUGAUUAUUACUACAUUGUAGAGGUAGAAAUAUUAAAUAAUUUAAAGGAUCUGAUUGUAUCACCAUUAGUAGGUAUCUUAAAUGAAUUACUUCCCUGAUUAUAUUUUCAUAUCUCACAUAGUCUUUGUCUAAAAAGGGAAUUUAGAAGUAGUCAGUAGUGAAGUGGCAAGUAUCAUGGGCCUUGGGUAGGAAGGCAGAGCACAGUACCAACGAGCACCAUGGUAUUAAGAUUUUGAGCACUAAAAAUGACUUUCAGGAAAGCAGAUGUGAUCUCAGGACUUCAGUGAAGAUAAACCACCUUCUCAGGAAGCAGAGAAUUGUACCUUAAUUUUAAUUUUUCAGCAGUAUUGUCAUCCAUUUAAUAUGGAUUUUAAAAGACACAAUGAAACCCUAAUAAUAAGGUCCUCAUUUUCCUGGGUGAGAAUCUUUGGAUGAAACUGGAUAUGCAUUGUUAUCUGUUUUACUUUGUCCAAAAGUGGUCCGCAUUGUAUAUUGCUUCGCAGUCUGUUAAAAUAAUCUUCUAAUAAACACGAAGACCCAAAUUCCUGGUGCAGAUAAGAAAACUACGCACAUUCCUACCUUCUCCAAACAGCCAGGAUUAGAUCAAAAGGCAACCUUAUGACACUUGGAGCACAAACCCUCUGGGCGCGCACAGAUGGGUCAACCGACAAGUCACAACGUCUGGGAAGCGAGAGAGAAGCGAAAUUCCCGCACUUACAUCAAGCGAAUUCUUAGCAGAACCUUAAACAUUCACCCAGGGGAACUGAGAGUGGCGGGCGGGGAGGACAUCGGUCCUGUAACGAUCCCCGACGAUCAGUCGUCUGUUACGUGCGCUCAGAACAGCCAACAAAGAGCCUCCGUUGCGCUUGUCCUCCAGUCCCACGUCGCCCGGGACUGUACGGCAAAAGGACACCGCGGAGGGUAUGGGGGGCGGGGGCUCGCUCCGCGCUGGGGGCGGGUCCGGGCGGCCGCUCCCUCCGCCCCUGGAGUAGCUGCCACCUCCUGGCAGCGCCCCAGCUCAGCAGCUCAGACGCGGCCGCAUCCCCUGGACUGUAGAGGCGGCAGCGAGCCCGAGCCAGCAUCGCUGCUCUCGGCCACAGCGAGGCUGGGAGAGCCCGAGCGCGAGGACACCUGGCCCAGGCGCGGCGGGAAGCUCUGCGCGCCGCUGGAGGAGGUAAUCUCACCUAGGAUCCUGGAUCAGUUAGAAUAG
ensembl:lincRNA